rnacentral:rRNA from 1 species
GAUGAACGCUGGCGGCGUGCUUAACACAUGCAAGUCGAACGGAAAGGCCCAAGCUUGCUUGGGUACUCGAGUGGCGAACGGGUGAGUAACACGUGAGUGAUCUGCCCUGCACUUCGGGAUAAGCCUGGGAAACUGGGUCUAAUACCGGAUAGGACGAUGGUUUGGAUGCCAUUGUGGAAAGUUUUUUCGGUGUGGGAUGAGCUCGCGGCCUAUCAGCUUGUUGGUGGGGUAAUGGCCUACCAAGGCGUCGACGGGUAGCCGGCCUGAGAGGGUGUACGGCCACAUUGGGACUGAGAUACGGCCCAGACUCCUACGGGAGGCAGCAGUGGGGAAUAUUGCACAAUGGGCGCAAGCCUGAUGCAGCGACGCCGCGUGGGGGAUGACGGCCUUCGGGUUGUAAACUCCUUUCGCUAGGGACGAAGCGUUUUUGUGACGGUACCUGGAGAAGAAGCACCGGCUAACUACGUG